AGCAGCCGCGGUAAUUCCAGCUCCAAUAGCGUAUAUUAAAGUUGUUGCAGUUAAAAAGCUCGUAGUUGAAUUUCGGGAUCAGUUGGUCGGUCGUGCCUCGGUACGUACUGGUCAAAUUGAUUCCUACCUUCUGACGAACCACGAUGUCAUUAAUUUGGUGUCGCGGGAAAUCAGGACUGUUACUUUGAAAAAAUUAGAGUGUUUAAAGCAGGCUCGCGCUUGAAUACAUUAGCAUGGAAUAAUGAAAUAGGAUGUUUGAUUCUAUUUUGUUGGUUUCUAGGAUCGACGUAAUGAUUAAUAGGGAUAGUUGGGGGCAUUAGUAUUCAAUUGUCAGAGGUGAAAUUCUUGGAUUUAUUGAAGACUGACUACUGCGAAAGCAUUUGCCAAGGAUGUUUUCAUUAAUCAAGAACGAAAGUUAGGGGAUCGAAGACGAUCAGAUACCGUCGUAGUCUUAACCAUAAACUAUGCCGACUAGGGAUCGGAUGAUGUUAAUUUUUUAAUGACUCAUUCGGCGCCUUACG
rnacentral:rRNA from 1 species